rnacentral:tRNA from 1 species
GGUUUGUGGCUCAGUGGUAGAGUGUUUGCCUAGCAUGUGGGAGGCACUGGAUUCGAUACUCAGCACCA